rnacentral:rRNA from 1 species
GAUGAACGCUGGCGGCGUGCCUAAUACAUGCAAGUCGAGCGAACGGACGAGAAGCUUGCUUCUCUGAUGUUAGCGGCGGACGGGUGAGUAACACGUGGAUAACCUACCUAUAAGACUGGGAUAACUUCGGGAAACCGGAGCUAAUACCGGAUAAUAUUUUGAACCGCAUGGUUCAAAAGUGAAAGACGGUCUUGCUGUCACUUAUAGAUGGAUCCGCGCUGCAUUAGCUAGUUGGUAAGGUAACGGCUUACCAAGGCAACGAUGCAUAGCCGACCUGAGAGGGUGGUAGCCAACACGGGAACGGGGACCGGGCCCACACUCCUACGGGGGGCAGCAGGAGGGAAUCUUCCGCAAUGGGAGAAGGCCUGAGGGAGCAACGCCGGGGGGGUGAUGAGGGUCUUCGGAUCUUAAAACUCUUUUAUUGGGGAAGAACAUAUUUGUAAGUACCUGUGCACAUCUUGACGUUCCCAAAUCAAAAACCCCCGGCAAACUACGUC